rnacentral:lncRNA from 1 species
CUUUCAAUAUGAUAUAAAUCAUAAAUUUACACCUUAAUAUCAAACCUGCUUUAAUAUCAUAGAUAAUAUCAUUUUCAUAUCAACAAUACAUGUCUCAAAUGUCAUCAUUAAUUUUUAUCAUAUAAUAAUAAAGUACUAUCAAAUAAAAUAGUUUAAAUCUAAGAAAUAAUAUCCAAAUGAAAAUCAAAUCUCCACCAAAUACACGUAAUCCAAAUACUAAGUAUAGUAUAUCCAAAAUCACUCUAAAAUGUCAAAAACAAACUCCAAAAUAAUAUGAAAGUCUCCGUGACAUUGUGACCCAUGAUUCUUCAUCUUCACCUCCAACUCCACAAUCAUUUUCAUCCUACAAAAAUUUGAUAAUAAAUAAUUAUAUUUUAUAAUCAACAAACUACUAUUUUAUUUCUAUUUAGAGAAAUGAAUUAAGCACUAGCUCGUAAUAGAAGUCAUUUUAAAGUAAUACUUUUAUUAGAUAAAAUCAUUAUAAAAGUCACUUACCUUUUAUUGAGAUUGAAAAAAUGACAUCACUACAAGAAAAUAGCUUAUUAGGGACGGCUUAGCCAUUGCUAAUAAGCAUAUUUAUCAAUAAUAUCCUUUUUCUGUCGUAAUAAAUAUAAAUUAUUAUUAGUGACGAUGAUUUUAUUAUGAGCAAUGGCAAGCUGUCGCUAAUAAGUUAAAUUAUUAUUAGCGACGGUUUUAGCAAUGCAAGUUUGUUGUUGCUAAUAAUAAGCCCUAAAAUUCCUCUGGAUCCCCGAUGGGGUCACAGAACCUCCUGUCGCUCCCCUUUCUCCCCCGUC